rnacentral:misc_RNA from 1 species
CACAUUACAUACAUAACAAAGGAGAGAGAUUUUUAAUAUUUGUUGUAUAACCUAAUCUGACUAAUAAAAGUAUACCUAUAACAGCCACUUUCCUUUCACUUCAUAAAGCUGCCAACUAUUUCCCCUUAUUAGAGUUAGCAAGUCUUCCCAUAUCCCACACAUUCUUGUAUUCUUUAACAAUUGUCUUGUGGGCUUAUUCAUUAGGUCAUUGUUAUCUCAAAUUAUUGAAUCCAACAAUCUCAAAACUUAGCCAUGCAAAAAGGG